UACGUAGGGCGCAAGCGUUGUCCGGAAUUAUUGGGCGUAAAGAGCUCGUGGGCGGUCUGUCACGUCUGCCGUGAAAACCCGAGGCUUAACCUCGUGGCUUGCGGUGGAUACGGGCAGACUAGAGGUAGGUAGGGGAGAACGGAAUUCCCGGUGUAGCGGUGAAAUGCGCAGAUAUCGGGAGGAACACCGGUGGCGAAGGCGGUUCUCUGGGCCUUACCUGACGCUGAGGAGCGAAAGCAUGGGGAGCGAACAGGG
rnacentral:rRNA from 1 species